AAGUCGUAACAAGGUUUCCGUAGGUGAACCUGCGGAAGGAUCAUUAUCGAAUGAAUGAAGCGCGCGGUUGCUGCUGGUCGCUCGCGCGACAUCGUGCACGCCGCCGUUUCUCUUUCACUCAUCCACCCCCUAUCGUGCACUUUGCGUGGAUCGCGAAUCUCGCGGUUCAUGUCUUUUCAUACACGCGCCGUAACUUGUAAAUGAAUGCUUCGUUCGAGCUUGGUCUCGAUAUAAAUUAAUACAACUUUCAACAACGGAUCUCUUGGCUCUC
rnacentral:misc_RNA from 1 species